CUGGAUGGAGUACGCUGGAAGAGAGGCACCUCAGGGGGCUUUUCUGGCUGAGCACAGCAUCCUGACCGGAGAGGGAACAGAAGACUUUCACCUCCUGGCCUCACAGACAGAGUCCACCAACCUGCCUGCCUUGCCAAGCCUCCGCCUGCCUUUCCCAGUCAUCCCACUCUUCAAGCCCACCUCUUUCAGGAAGCCCUCCAUGCCCAUCACAACAGGUCAUGGCAGCUUCGAGGUUUUCACGAGUCCUGCAAGGUCUCAACGUCCCAUUGGGAAGCCUGGCCUGAUGCCCAGGGGCCUGGGCUCCCACCACCCGCUCUGACUCCCUGGGCCUUCCGUAAAUGCCGUGUUGAGCCUCUCCAACCACUCCUGUAGCCAUAUGUUCAUGAUCCUCCUCAGAGCAGAUUAAGACUUCAGAGGCCUCUGAGCACCGGAAGCAUUUGCUGCCCUCCUCACAAGACACACUAUCAGAUACAAGUAUCAGGACAUCUGGCAAAGUUCUGGUUUUCCCCUGAUGCAUUGUGCUUUGUUUGAAGUAUUAAAUUGAUUUUUAAAUGUAUGUUUUGCUCAUUUAGAGGGGAUGCCCCUGCUUUGCUGGCAGCCCCAGUACGUGCCGGGUCUUCCUGACAUCACCGUGCGGCUAUAACUCUUAGCUUAGGGUAAUU
rnacentral:lncRNA from 1 species